rnacentral:tRNA from 1 species
AGGGCGUUGGGCAAGUGGUUAAGCCAAUGGAUUCUCAUUCCAUGAUCGCGGGUUCAAUUCCCGUACGCCCUCCUA